rnacentral:rRNA from 1 species
GUUUGAUCAUGGCUCAGAUUGAACGCUGGCGGCAGGCCUAACACAUGCAAGUCGAGCGGUAGCACAGAGAGCUUGCUCUCGGGUGACGAGCGGCGGACGGGUGAGUAAUGUCUGGGAAACUGCCUGGGUAAGGGGGAUAACUACUGGAAACGGUAGCUAAUACCGCAUAACGUCGCAAGACCAAAGUGGGGGACCUUCGGGCCUCAUGCCAUCAGAUGUGCCCAGAUGGGAUUAGCUAGUAGGUGGGGUAACGGCUCACCUAGGCGACGAUCCCUAGCUGGUCUGAGAGGAUGACCAGCCACACUGGAACUGAGACACGGUCCAGACUCCUACGGGAGGCAGCAGUGGGGAAUAUUGCACAAUGGGCGCAAGCCUGAUGCAGCCAUGCCGCGUGUGUGAAGAAGGCCUUCGGGUUGUAAAGCACUUUCAGCGGGGAGGAAGGCGAUAAGGUUAAUAACCUUGUCGAUUGACGUUACCCGCAGAAGAAGCACCGGCUAACUCCGUGCCAGCAGCCGCGGUAAUACGGAGGGUGCAAGCGUUAAUCGGAAUUACUGGGCGUAAAGCGCACGCAGGCGGUCUGUCAAGUCGGAUGUGAAAUCCCCGGGCUCAACCUGGGAACUGCAUUCGAAACUGGCAGGCUAGAGUCUUGUAGAGGGGGGUAGAAUUCCAGGUGUAGCGGUGAAAUGCGUAGAGAUCUGGAGGAAUACCGGUGGCGAAGGCGGCCCCCUGGACAAAGACUGACGCUCAGGUGCGAAAGCGUGGGGAGCAAACAGGAUUAGAUACCCUGGUAGUCCACGCCGUAAACGAUGUCGAUUUGGAGGUUGUGCCCUUGAGGCGUGGCUUCCGGAGCUAACGCGUUAAAUCGACCGCCUGGGGAGUACGGCCGCAAGGUUAAAACUCAAAUGAAUUGACGGGGGCCCGCACAAGCGGUGGAGCAUGUGGUUUAAUUCGAUGCAACGCGAAGAACCUUACCUGGUCUUGACAUCCACAGAACUUUCCAGAGAUGGAUUGGUGCCUUCGGGAACUGUGAGACAGGUGCUGCAUGGCUGUCGUCAGCUCGUGUUGUGAAAUGUUGGGUUAAGUCCCGCAACGAGCGCAACCCUUAUCCUUUGUUGCCAGCGGUUAGGCCGGGAACUCAAAGGAGACUGCCAGUGAUAAACUGGAGGAAGGUGGGGAUGACGUCAAGUCAUCAUGGCCCUUACGACCAGGGCUACACACGUGCUACAAUGGCAUAUACAAAGAGAAGCGACCUCGCGAGAGCAAGCGGACCUCAUAAAGUAUGUCGUAGUCCGGAUUGGAGUCUGCAAC